rnacentral:rRNA from 1 species
CCAAGAAAUUUAAGAGCGGAUGGUGGAUGCCUUGGGAGAUUGAGGCGAUGAAGGACGUGGCGUGACUGCGAUAAUCCUCGGGGAGGUGUCUAGCAACCUUUGAUCCGGGGGCUUCCAAAUGGGGAAACCCAAUCCCGAUUAAUCGGGAUUAUCCCGCAGCAAUGCGGGAAGCAAACCCGCUGAAGUGAAACAUCCCAGUAAGCGGAGGAAAAUAGAACAAUGUUUAUUCCCUUAGUAGCGGCGAGCGAAAAGGGAAAAGCCCAAACCUCGUUAUUACAAUGUAAUGGCGGGGGGUUGUAAGGAGAUAACGUCGGGAGCUGACCGAAACACAUAACGUUUUAUGUGUUCGGUCGGUUUCUGAGGGAGAAUAUUUAGACGAAGUUUGGUUAGCUGAAUUCCGCUGGAAAGCGGAAACCAUAGAGGGUAAUAGUCCCGUAAGCGAAAAUCACUUCGCGCUCCUUGUUAUUUUACUUAAGUACCUCGGGGAAAGGAAAUCCUGAGGGAAUCAGGCCGGACUAACCGGCUAAGGCUAAAUACUCAAUCUCACCGAUAGUGAACCAGUACCGUGAGGGAAAGGUGAAAAGUAGCCCGGUGAGGGCGGUGAAAUAGUACCUGAAACCAUCUCGCUCACAAAGAGUCGGAGCUGAGCAUGUAACUUGUUAUGUGCUUGGUGACGGCGUGCUUAUUGCAGAACGACCCAACGAGUCUGAAUAUAUAGCGUGUCUAAUCCCGUUUCGGGAGACGGCAAAGGGAAACCGAGCGUUAAAAGCGCGUUUCUGCUAUAUAUCCAGGACCCGAAGCCAAGCGAGCUUGCCAUGAUCAGGGUGAAUCCCGCUGAAAAGUGGGAGGAGGCCCGAACCCGUGAGCCGUUCAAUACUCUGGGAUGAGUUGUGGCAAGAAGAGAAAACCUAAACGAGCUUGGUCAUAGCUGGUUCUCCCCGAAAUAGCUUUAGGACUAGCUCCCGUUUUAUUAUUUUCCAGGGGUAGAGCACUGAAAAGAAUGUUGUGGCUAACGCUAGACAUUCUUAUCAAACUCCGAAUACUGGAAAGUUUGACGGGAUGCUCGACUAUGGGGGCUAAGCUCCAUAGUCAAGAGGGCAACAGCCCAGAUCUUAAUCUAAGGUCCCUAAACUUAAGCUAAGUGUUUUUAAGGAAGUAAGAUUCCAUUGAUAGUUAGAAGGUUAGCUCAGAAGCAGCUACCCUUUAAAAAGUGCGUAAUAGCUUACUAACUAAGGAAUCUUGCGCCAAAGAUUAGCGGGACUCAAGCUUAAUACCGAAGAUAAGGAUGAGCGCGUAAUUUAUUAUGCGUUCGUGGUAGGGGAGCGUCCCCAAUGCAGCGAAGUCAAAUCGUAAGAUUUGGUGGAGCGUUGGGGAGCGAAGAUGUUGGGAUGAGUAAUCACAAUUCCGAUGAAAACUCGGAACACCGAAAACCCAAGGUUUCCUUGGAAAUGACAAUCAACCAAGGGUUAGGCGGUCCUUAACCGAAUCCGAAAGGAGUAGGCGAUGGACAGUCGGCAAAAAUUCCGACCCUGCCGUUAAAUAAUCUCAGGAUGACGCAGUUUAUUAAUUCAGGGAGAUUAUUGGAUUUCUUUAUCCCGCUUUCGGGCGGGAGUCCUGAAGAGAUAAGUUGCCUAGAAAACUUUUGAGUAUACUAUUUAACGGCAUCCGUACCGCAAACUGACACAGGUGGGUUGGUGUAAGAGCACCAAGGUGAACGAGUGAAACUUCGUUAAGGAACUCGGCAAAAAAGCGGUCGUACCUUAGGUAUAAGACCUACCCGAACCCGCGAGGGUUCGGGUCACAGCUAAAGUACCCCUAGCGACUGUUUAUCAAAAACACAGGUCCCUGCUUAAUUCGUAAGAAGAUGUAUAGGGGCUGAGUCCUGACCAGCGCUGGAACGUUAAAACUAGAGAUUUUCUGGAAGCAAUUCUGGAGAGUUUACUGGACUAAGCGCCAGCAAGCGUCCGCGGUAACUAUAACCGUGUUAAAGUAGCGUAACCCCUUGCCAGGUAAGUUCUGGCCCGCAUGAAAGGAUUAACGACUGGGGGACUGUCUCAACGAAGUACUCGAUGAAAAUGCACUACCGGUGAAGAUGCCGGUUUCUUGUGGCUAGACGGAAAGACCCCGGGAGCUUUACUGUAUUCAGAUAUUGGAUUUUGAUUUUUGAUGCGUAGCGUAGCGGGUAGGCUUUGAAGUUCCGUUUUCGGACGGGAUGGAGCCGCCAAUGAAACACCCGUCUUUUAAAAUCUUUUUUCUAAUCCCGCCAAAAUCGGGAAACAGUGUUUGAUGGGCAGUUUAGGUGGGGCACUUGCCUCCCAAAAAGUAAUGGAGGCGUUUAAAGGUCGGCUAGCUCCGGAUGGAAAUCGGAGUGGUCGUGUAAAGGCACAAGCCGGCUUUACUGCAAGACAGAUAUGUCGCGCAGUUGCGAAAGCAGAACUUAGUGAACCGACCAUGGUUCGUAGAACCGUGGAAGAUCAUCAGCCAAAAGUUACCCCGGGGAUAACAGGCUAGUAGGGCCCGCGAGUCCAUAUCAACGGCCCUGUUCGGCACCUUAACAUAUCGGGGUGCUAUGACAGUAAUGUCAUACCUGUGACUUGCAAAUUAUGCAAGAUAAAAUCUAACUUAUAACGGUGGAACCUUAAUUGUUUAAAAUGGUAUAAUAAAAAAAUAAACAAAAGGUAAUACCGUGGGAAGUUUAACUCAAUUGCAAAAAUCUGUGAUUAUAGGAUCGAUUUUGGGCGAUGGAUAUUUGCGUAUUGUUCCAAGGAGAAAGAAUGCUUUUCUCGAAAUCAACCACUCUUUCAAUCAGAAAGAAUAUGUUGAUUGGAAAUACGAAAUAUUGAAAAACAUCUGCAAAUCUCCUCCUAAAUUAAGAAGAAAUAAUGGAAAAAGAUUAUCCUACCGUUUUUAUACGAAGCAAAACGAA